CGCGCCCAGGCCGGCGCCUGGCCACCGUCUCCGCCACACCCCCAGGCUUUCCCGGGCCCCAAUAGGCCGUUCCCUCGGCUGCCCCGCCUCCUCCGGCGACUGGCCUUACGUCACUUCCGCCAGCUCUUGGUUUCCCGCUUUUGGGUCCCGAGCGUCUCCGGUGUCACACUAUCAAGGCUCAGUUUUCGAACUUUGUACCAAAGCCUUGUGAGCGGCUUACCUAGAGCCCCGGGCCAGGAGUCAUCAGGUGUGAAGGGGGCACUUCUCUGUGAGGUGUGUGCUUAGGUUUUGUUUAUAUUACACCAUAAGUGGCAAAUAGAGUCAGGGAACUGACUGUGGUUGUUUUGAAGCACUAAGAAUUUUUUCUCUCUCGUCUCUAGUUUGCGUUUCAGUCUCCAUACUUGUCAACAUUGUAGGGAAGUUUAUAAACAGUGCCCUACUGGCCUUAUUUGUUCGGUUUCGAAUCGAACCGUCAAAUAAUUUCGGAGGAGCGGUUGGGGUCCAGAGGAAAUAUGUUAGAGGGCUAAGGUUUUUCAGGGACACCAGCCUUGCCAGUCCAAGCGUGCUUCCCAGAACAGUAGUAGGUGGGAAGAGACAGCUACUCUGAUGCAACUUGGUUUGCGGCACCCUCCUCAAGUGCUCCUUUAAAACUAGGUUUUUUUCUGUGGUUGGCCUUAAAAUCGGGUGUAAGUCAUGGCUUAGUAAACGCCUGGUCUAGUGGAUAGGAUGUUUUAAUUACUAACUAACCAGACAUGCCAAUUUUUAGGAAUAUUUUUACAUUUUAGAAAAUUGUUAUUAAUGAUAACAUAUUCUUUGACCUACUCAUUUUCUUGCUUCCUGAAUUCUAUUCCGACUUGGGUUUCAACCUUAGCCCUGCUACUUCACUAAUUUUGAUUUUAUUUUGGUCUUAGUCUUUUUUCGGAAUCAAGUGUAUAGGGAUAUAUUUGGCCCAAUAGUCUGCCAUCAGUGAAUGUUGGCAGAAUGACUGAAUGACUUCCUGAAUAGUGACUGUAUUUUCUUUUCCCGUUUCAGCCCCUGAAAUCAAGCAAAUAUAUUUGUGAAAUAGUCUUUAAAAUUUAACUCUACAUGUUUAAAGCAACUGGAAUUUCUAUUCCAGUUGGAAUUUCUAUUCCAAUGGAAUUUCCAUUCUAUGGAAUACUAGUCAGCAACAAAAAGGAACAUAUUAUUGAUACACACACCUUAAAUGAAUCUGCAGGAAAUUAUACUGAAUGGAUACAGUAUCACUUUCUCAACCCUACAUUUGGGCAUGGGUAUGAAAUCAGUAAAGACAAAAUUGACAAGUGUAUCACAGCUAAAGAAUUCAUUUAUAUGGCAGUUGCCAAGGCAGAAUAUUAAGGUAACCAGUAAGAGACACAAAUAGAUUAUUUACAAUGAUGGGCACUUAAUGUCAGCCUUCUAGAGAGACCCCAUGUGUCCACCUUCCAGGUAAUAGGACCUUUCUCUGUCUUCCCCAUCCCUUUCAAAGUUCCUUUCUCUCUCGUAGUUUAUCCUGAAGUCAAAGCAAGAGUUUUUCUUAUAGAUGCUCUGGAGUCCAUCAGGAUGCAGUCUAUACCUUGAACUGUCUUUUGGAUUAUCUGGUUCCAAAUUGGAAUCUCUCUUCGCUCAGAACUCCCUCUGUAUUGACUAUUAAUCACUUUUUGUUCUUUUGAGAUUGGUUGCUACCAUCGUGCUGUUUUGGGGGUUAGGGGGAGAAUUCUGUGCUCCUCAUUGCCACACUCGUCCACUGAGUUUAUCAAUGUAGAUGCAUCCUUUUAAUUCAUUGGAGCAUUGUUUGAAUUACCAAAUUUACACAGGAUACUAGAUAUGACCACUACAACAUGGAGAUAAUAAUGAAAUUUACCUUAUGGGAUUGUUGUCAGUAUAAAUGAUUAAGCAUUUAAUCAAAUGCUUAGUAAUAUAAAAGUAAGUGCUUAGAAUAAUAUAAUUACACAUAUAAUUCCAAUCGUGUACUCUGUAUAUUAUGCUGUAAUUAUCUGUAAUACCAUAAAUGUAAUAUAAGUAUUAGCUGUUAUUAUUAUCCACAGACCAAAGGAGAUUUUCAUCAACAAGUUAUUCUUUUGUUUGUAGCUAAAUCCUUGGCAUCCCAUGAAAAAAGUUAGCUUUUUCAAAAUUGCACUUCUUAGGCAUGCAUUCAGGCAUACCCCACAUUACUACUUGAGAUCAGGCUCUAAGCAAGUGUGGCCUACGUGGGAAUGAGUUCUCAAACUCUCAGGCCUUAUCUUCCCAUGAUCUGCCUCUUUCCAGGAUGAUUGAAAGUUAGAAUAUCCACCGACUUACAGGGAGACCUCAUCCCCUACCAGUUAGGAGUGUUUGUCUUCGGAGCCCUCAAUCUCACCAUAACACAAUAAUCCAGUAUCAUGAUUUCUAAAGUCUUGUUAUUAAUUCUUAACUGUGUAAAAGACCAACAGUCCAAUCCAGGUUUAACUUAACCCAGCAUUGCCUAGUUCUUUUGUACGUAUUUACCUUCAUUAUGAAGUGAAAAUUUAGGUGCACUAAACCUAGUUUCAGCUUCUGAAUGCUCAACAGUGGCUUGAAAAGAGCAUAUUUCCAUAAAAAUAAGUCCUAACAUUUUGCAGGCAUGUCACAGCUUAAGUUCAUACUUAAAAAACAAACAUUUCUCCAAAAAAAGUCCAAGUGAAACAACUCUGCCUACAAUGCAGACAGCCUUUGCAUUAUCUUACAGAGGGGUUUAGCUCCUUAAAAUCACUCUUCUCAAAUGACUUUAUUUCUGCAGUGGUCUUUUACUUUACAUUUGCAUAACUAAAUAGGUAAAUGGACCGUUUAAGUGAUUUUCCAAGAACAAAGGGAUGCAAAGAUGGGCUUAAAGAUAAAAGGGAAAGUAGAAGGGGAAAUUACUUAAAUCUUGGCUGAAUCUCCAGUGACCCGUUUAUUCUGACUUUUGGGUGUGUGAUGUGCUUCAUUAGUUGGUCAGUACCACUGAGUAAAAUGAACACUGAGUGAUUUCCUUCCUUCUUUGCUCAUUCAACAUUUACAUUUCACAAAGAGAGGGAUUAAUAAGAACAGUUAUGUGAUUAAUAUGAAGUGCUUCCACUGGGUAGAGUUUGUCCCAGAUCUUUCUUGCCUGUUCAGAAACUGUGUACUAGUGAUUUGAGCAGGGAAAAUUUAACACAAGGAAUCAUUAGGUAGGUAAGUAGUGAUUAAUGCUAGAAGGAAACUUGAAGGUCUAACAGAUGUAGCUACUGCUGGGAGCUGCCACCAGCCCGGGACUGAGGAAAAGUAAAGAGGGAAGAAAUUUAGACAUUUAGAGGAAGGCCCUACAUACUAGACAUUCAGACCUCUGAGAAGACAGUGUGGAUGCCAUAGAAACAUGCUGCCUAUCAUGGUGGUAACUGAGAAGCUAGAUGGAAAGCUGUCUGCCGGUGAACCCACUUCUGUAGGCUAGGGGGCAUUCACCACUGAAGUAGAGGGCUGUGGCCACUGUGGUAAUCACUGCCAGGAUUCCUUCCUGCUCAUCUGCUUGCCACCAUAUGGAGAACAGAACAGCAGAAAAAGAGUGAAUUGCUUCUUCCAGCCUUGCAGUGUCCCUCUAGCACCCUUAUUGGAAGAUCCCAGCAUAGAGCCUGCCAGCAAAGGAGAAAGGUAGUCUGCACAAUUGAGUUGUAGCAUCAAAAAACAGGGCAAAGAAAGGUGGGAGAUAUAAAGGAAGCUUUUUAAUAUUGAUGUGAUCUGGGUUAGGAAAAAAAAACCACAAGGUCUGUCUUCUUUCUACUUAAGGAGUUGGAAUUUACAGUAACCUCAGAGUUUUGAAAUGCCAGGCCAAGAAAUUAACAUAAAAGUGGUUUUGAUGCAGUGAUGCCCUUGAGAUUUCUUGCAAAGCAAGAACAUAUUUGGUCUGAGGGAGGGAUAUAACUUCCAUCUAGGUUACACAGGACUCCCAUGGAUAUAAAACCACACUGAAAAUGAACCUGCGAUCACAUAUUACAAACUACCAUGACAUAGGCAUGACACAGGGAUAGCAGAGGGGAAAAAAAUCCCAUGCAUUUUAUAGAAUAAAUGUAAUAAAGCAAGCAGAUAGAUACUCUAAAAUAAGUAUGUUUAAAAUAGUUAAUGUUAUAAAAAAGAAAACAAGGAAAUACAAGAGAAUAGUUAAUUAAAACAACUAAUAGAAAUGAAAAAUGAAGAUAUUAAAAUCAAACAGUAAGGAGAGAUUUCUGCUUUCAGUUAAGAUGUAGAAGUACAUGAAAGACAAAUGGUAACAACAAGAAAAACCUCAACAAAGUUAAAAUCAUAUUUUUUAAUGAGGUCAGCGAGGAAUGAAGAAUGAAAGAAAACCCUGAGGAACUGCUUUUCAAAGAGAAAUGAGGCAUUCAUAAAUGAACAGAAAGCCUCAGCAAUUUCCCACUUGGGAGUAGGCACCUGGUCUAAAUACAGGCAGAUGGAGAAUUAGCUUGUCAAAGAUGGAGAUGAGAAGAAACCAACCAAGAUUUUGACAGUAAUGUGGGCUUGUGGGAUGCACAGGAAUUUGGAAGAAGACUAUAGUAGAUUGAGUUUUCCAAAAAUGUCCUGAACAGUAUCUUCCAUCCUACAGAAUAUUUCCUACAAUGUGACAAUGACAUUCCUUCCACGGAGUGGUAGUGUUCAUGGUCCCUGCCUUGAAUCUGGUCAAGUUUGUGACAAUGGUGAAAAUAAUGAUAUGUGAAUUCUGAGGCUAAAUCAUAAAAGGUGUUAUAGCUUCUAGCUGGACCUCUCGCGAUGCAUGACUUUGCAACCCCAACUGCAAUGUAAGGAGUCUAAAGCUGCUGUGGUAUGAGGAAAGAUCAUGUGGAGAUGUUCUGGAUCAUCCCAAGCUGAGUUCGCAGCCAACAGUCGGGAUCAACCCACAAGCGUGUGUGUGAUUGGAGCCACCUCUAGAAGAUUCCUGCUCCCUGGAGGCAGGUUACUUCCAGCCUGAUUCACAUAAUCCCUGAACAUAAUAAAAUGAUCUUAUUUCAAA